UACGUAGGGAGCAAGCGUUGUCCGGAAUUACUGGGCGUAAAGGGUGCGUAGGCGGCGCAGUUAGUCAGAAGUGAAAUAUCGGGGCUUAACCCCGGGGCUGCUUCUGAUACUGCUGUGCUCGAGUGCAGGAGAGGUAAGUGGAAUUCCUAGUGUAGCGGUGAAAUGCUUAGAUAUCACGAAGAACUCCGAUUGCGAAGGCAGCUCACUGGACUGCAACUGACACUGAGGCUCGAAAGUGUGGGUAUCAAACAGG
rnacentral:rRNA from 1 species